rnacentral:rRNA from 1 species
GUAGUAGCAAAUACUCCAGCGAGGCCCUGGAGGACUGACGUGGAGAAGGGUUUCGUGUGAACAGCCGUUGCACACGAGUCAGUCGAUCCUAAGCCCUAGGAGAAAUCCUAUGUAUGGAGGCCCACGGCUCCGUUGGGCGAAAGGGAAUCCGGUUCCUAUUCCGGAACCCGGCAGCGGAACCGUUCAAAGUCGGGCCCCUGAGAAGCUCGUCGGGGUAACCCAACAGGACCCGGAGACGCCGUCGGGAGAUCGGGGAAGAGUUUUCUUUUCUGUAUGAGCGUUCGAGUUCCCUGGAAUCCUCUAGCAGGGAGAUAGGGUUUGGAACGCGAAGAGCACCGCAGUUGCGGCGGUGUCCCGAUCAUCCCCUCUGACCUUGAAAAUCCGGGAGAGGGCCACGUGGAGGUGUCGCGCCGGUUCGUACCCAUAUCCGCAGCAGGUCUCCAAGGUGAAGAGCCUCUAGUCGAUAGACUAAUGUAGGUAAGGGAAGUCGGCAAAUUGGAUCCGUAACUUCGGGAUAAGGAU